GGUUGUGGUUAUUGUAGUUUUGCCCUUUCCCUCAAGCAGCCAUCAACAUGGAUUAUUUUCCUCACUUUUUUUCUUUUUUUUGGGAUAAACCAGGAAAACUUACAUGGUCCUUGGGAAAACACAUCCCAGAGCAUCAGUUAGAGCUAGUUCACAAAGAGCCAGAGGAAGGUCAGUACAAGAGAAAGAAAUGUUACCAUGAUCAGCUACAUAGUUAACAGUCCAGUCAGCCGCUUGAUUGCCCUUGUGGUAGGUGUGUGAGAUGUGGAAUGAUUCAAGGUCCUGAGUGACUAGCAGAAUAUCCAGCAACAAGAGAUGAUUUCUAGAUGUAAGAGAUGGCAAGUGGUUGAUCCAGACUGGCCCUCAAGCCAUAUAUGAAAUGCCCUCAGAAUUUUGACUGUGCAGCAGACACCUUCCCAUUUAGCAGACAGGUCCAUCAUGGCUACAUUUCUACUCCGUUGGAAGCUGCCACUGGCUGCUACAGUGGCUCCCAUGUGAUCGUGGAUAAUGUGUCCAGCACCACAGCGGGUCUACCUCCCUCAUUGAUGGACCUGCCGAAAACAUCAACAUUAUAACCUGAAAAUUUUUUGAACCAUGGAAGACAUGCUGUAGGUACAAACUUUUUUAUACCUAAAUAUCUAGAAAAAUUACAGCUCCAAAACCAUGGCUGUAAUGGGCUUGUAACAUUUGAUGUCUCAGUUAUCACGAGUCUAUGAAAUAUCUGGACCUCCAAAGAACCUUAAAAUAUGCUGUGGAAGCUCAUGUCCACAACACUGUAAAUCUGAAAUGGAAGCACUGUACCAUAUUUCUUGAUCUAUACAUGAGGUCACUGUGGUGAGCAGAACCUGGACUUGAAAACAAGAAUGAUUGGAAAGGUAAACCAUUUUACCUAAUCUCUUUUUUUUUCCCAUUCUCGUGAAAUUAGAUCAAUAAUUUAUUGUUGGACAGAAGUUUUUAGUUAGCAUAACUUUAAAAUUAUUUUCUAUUUUCAGUUUAAUUACAACUUAUGCAGAGGACAGAUUCUAAUUUAGUUCAUUCAUAUUUUGCCUUUUUAUGAUAAGAAAUUCAUAGUUUGCUUUCAAGACUACACGACUGAUAUAAAAUAUACUUGUUCAACUAGCAUGCUUUUAUGAGAGAAAUGUUCUUUCUUUUAUACAGGUGCCUGUUUUCUUUUUUCCACUCGGAGACCUUGAUAGAUCUUCUAUGUUCCUGUUAAUUUAAAUCAUUGCCAGUACAUUUUUAGCAAUUGAACUUACACAAUGAGCAUGGUCGAUGUAAUUCAUGGUGGGCAAUUCGAUAUCUUUGUCGUUGAACUCCUCUAUCUUUCAACUUGUACCACAUAAUUGCCUUAAUUCAGCAGUCUUUUUCACUAAGCAUUCACAGCUUGCUCAUAAAUCUGCGAAUUUAUAGCUAGAUCCAAAAAAUAAUCAUUCUGGCUCUUGUGAGCCCUAAGGUUCUAAUCUCAGAGAUACUGAUGCAGCAAAGGAUGCAGCUAAUAGGUAUUAUGACCAGCUGGACCAUACUAAGUUUCACAGGAACCAACUGAUAAAUGAAGAUAAUAUCAAAAUUUAGCCAAAUUUCUAUAUUUAUAGUAGCUAAGUUCUAGCAAGUUCUUUUAUUACCUAUUCCUAUUUCUAGUAUGAUUUUGUACUUUAUGUCCUUCAUAUGCUUCUAAUAUAUUAUAUGAAGAGAGUUUGCGACAUGUUAGUAGUAGAACAACUGUCAGAGAGAGCACGCUUCAUCAAGCUAAUGGUUUUUCGAUCCAAUUUAUUUUUGAUUCAUAUGUAUUUUCUGAAAUUUAAUUCCAGCAAUCAACUUGCUCUUCUUCACAUACAACCACAGCUAAAGCGAAUCUCUGCCAAUAAAAUUUGACACCUCUAGGGUGAACAAUAAUAGAAAUUAACAUUGAAGGUUUUCAAAACAGGCAAAUGAGACAUAGGAUGCAACCACCGACAGCAAAGAAGGAACCUGAAAAAAAAAAGGAUCAGAGCAAAACGAAUAGGACACUGUAGAAAUUAGCAUUUGAAGGUUUUCAAAACAGGCAAAUGAAACAUGGGAUGCAACCACCGACAGCAAAGAAGGAACCAAAAAAACAAAAGAUCAGAGCAAAACGAAUAGGACACUGCAGAUCAGGGUAGUGGGGUCCUUCAACAAAGAAACAAACCAUAACGAUUCCCCAGUGGAAGCUUCUUUGAGUCAAAAGUGGGGAAGAUUGCCCUUGGCGUAUUCUUCUUCCGGUCACCCACUCUGUAGCCCACUUAAACAAACAAAAAAGAAAGAAAAGAAAAGAAAAGAAAAGAAAGAAAGAAACAUGCUCAAGAUUUCAAAAUUGGCAAGUUAUCUUAUGUGGAUCAGCUUAAGAGUUUGUUUGGGCAGAAGUUAGGUCAUGAAAAUGAUGUAGCAACCUAGGAGUGAAGGGUAAGUCAGUAAAUGGGGUGGAAAAAUCGAAAAAGACAUUUCUUGCAAAUUGUGUCUCACACAAUAAGCCAUGUUGCCCACUGAUUUUCUCUCAUUUUAUUUAAAUUUACUCAAUCUUUUUGGUGGAAGCUAUGUCAUUGUUGUGACUAAAUUUAAUUAUUUCAAACUUUUUCAACUUGUCACACUUCACUGUAACUAUAGACAAUAUUGGAUGAAGCCUUUAGUCAUGCUGUGUAAAGGUUAAAAGCAAAGAGGAUGCUCCCGAGCAAAUCCUCCAUGCUAAAGCUUAUCUUGGUAAGGGGACAAUUUGAGUAUCAAAGAUAGGGGAUAUCUCGUUUCAAGUGUAGAAGGUUGUCCACAUCUGCAGGCAUAAAGAUUAUAAAAAAAAAAAAGAAAAAAAGAUCAAGACAAUUUGGUGGUUAGGGAAUGUGCACCCUUUGGUAAGUGUGGUAUGUUUGGGCUAAUUAUCAAAUAGUGAAUGUAGAUCACAUGCCUAUGUCAAAGUAUGAGAUGACACAUGAUGGAGCAAGUAUUUCAGUAACUUUUGUGUUUAUUAUUUUAUUUCAGGAAUAGUAGUUAGAUGAUUAAGUGAGAAAUUAUAGGUAUAUGUGAUGCACAUUUAUGAGCUGCCUUCCUUAUAGAAUGCAACACUUAAAGCAGCAGAUGAUUAUUUAAUAAAUCAUACCUAAAAGGAGGCAUAGCAAGGUAAGUAGAUAGGUGAGCAUGUUAUAUCAUCCAUUGCAGGAAUUUCUAUACAAGAAUACUGUUGGAGUAUAACUAUAUCUUAAAAUUUCACCUUGAAUAAGCCCCUGGAACAGCUGCCUGCCAUUGUGUUCUAGAUCCUUGCGCUGUUAAGAAUGUCACAACGAGAUACCUUGAAAAAGCAAUAUUCUAAUAUAUUGUCACAAGCUAGCCGUUUUGAGAAUAUCAUAUCAUAUUGUUUCUACUCUGCAUGGUUGAAUUAUUAUUGCUUGUAUAUGUAAACACAGUAGCAUCCCCCAUAUUUGUUUCUCUUGUUUUUUGUGCUUAUGUAUUCACAUAUCGGUUUGUUGUUUCUUUUUGUUUAAAACUAAAUCCUAUCAAAAACUCAACAUGUUGUUCCUACUGAGACUACUUUCUACAGUAUUAAUUAUCUGAGUUGAUCCUAAAUUUCAGCUUUUAUCUCAAAUCUGAUCCUGUGGCAAAGAUUUUAAUCGGCUUUUCAACUUUAAUGAUUGCUUGUGACUGUCAUCCUGUGGUCCCAGCUGGAGAAUAAACUGUCACAUUAUCAUUUUUAAGAUCUAGAUGGAAACAUUCCAAUCUAACAUUAAAUGCAAGGAUUUUUUUUUUUCUCCUUGGCCCAGGUAGAAUUUUGAAAAUUGACUGAAAUGAAGAGAGAUUUUCAAAAGGGGAGAGAGAUUAUGCCUUCCCCUAGUUAUCAGUCCUGAAAUCAUACUGAAUCCAACUUGGGUCCUGCAACUGAUACAGUCCAAAACGUAUACUUGAUGGGAUCCAAAAUCACCCUCAACGAGAGGAUUAAAAUACUCCCAUCUUGGACCUACGUUGAUCAAUACACCACCUACACCCCUGGUUAACCAGGGGGCCUACAUUUAUCAAUGUACCUAUUGAAAUUAGAGUUACACUGACGCGUAUACUCUACCCAACUGCCAACUACAGAUACUACAGGUCUUUUUUAAAGCGGCGUCUUUGUUGUUCUGAUCACUUAUGUUCAGAAGGCACAUGACACAAUAUCUGCUCCAGACCUGAUAUUAUUUCUCCUGGUUGGAUUUCAAAACAAUAACAUAUUGUGGCUAAUGUUGGCCUUCCAUGUGGACUUGCUAGCAUCAUCAAUUAGGAAGAAACUUGAAACAUGUACAUCUCUUUCUAAUAUCUAUCUUAUAUCUUUAUAUUUGUCCUAAAUAUUAAUUAAGUUUGUCUCAUUGCAGUGACUACAGGUCCACUCUUACUCAUUAAUGUAGUCUUUUUUUUUCUUUUUUUUUUCAUUUUUUUGUUGGCCAUCUCAUCUUAAAGAUAUAUGGUGGGGAAAUAAAUUGUAGGGCACCCUUCCUACCAACUUCCUUCAGUCGAAGUCGGUUGCUUGGCCCACUGAGCCAGGCUGCCCCAAUCAAUGGACCUUAGCCCCAAGUUGGUCAAAUUUAAGGACUCUUUUUUUCCUAGUUAAUAUCCACAGGAUCCUUGGGUGAACCUAAAAAGAACUGCUGCAUGAAUGAUUUUGAGUUAAUUUAUGACUUGAACCAAAGACAGCUUAGAGGUCUAGAUGAGAUUUCUUGAUAACUUUUCCGGGAUCUUGCGAAGGAUAGGUAAUAGGAAAUGUAGGAAAACAUGAGGGCAUAAAGAUAAGAGUACAUGAAAUGUGUGAGAUUUUAAACAGUGCUGAUAAUAAAGUUCACUAUGAUGAAGUGAGAUGUCCUUGUUUUCUUCUAAGUUCAGAGGAAAAGAAGAUGCUGGAAAGCUCAACAUGAACUGAGUGACUUUUAGUGUGUUUACGGUUAAUUUAUGAAGGUUUUACUUGCACUUUGAUUGUAUCAAGCUUCCAUGAACAAUGAAAUAGUCCACUAAUUAGGGAGAUGCAGUUGGAAUCUUUCAAGAGUAUAUGUUCCUUUCUAGAAGGCAUUGCUCCUUUAAUUUUGUUGAAAUUUUAUUGUUGAUGUACUGAUGGACCACAAAACGUACGAAGGCAACGCUCCCACGAAAAAAUGGAGGAAACAGUGAUAAGUCUCUUGAAACACCACCAAAAGACGUACCAUUGGACUAUUUAGCACCCUUCUGUUAGAUCCUUCAAUACACCCCUUUCAUUUGAAAUGGAUUAUAACAAACAAGACAAAAUAAUUUAUCGGACAGUGCUAUAUACAGUACUACAGAAAAAGCCAAGGAUCAUUUAUCACCUUUCAAUUUCACUGCAGAAGAUCUAAAUCCUGUAAGUAAUUCUUCUCUGCUCUUGUAAGUAAUUCUCAUUAAUAAAUUUGGGUGGCAGGGCCUCCCUUUUCCUUUCAGAAAAGAAAAAAUAAUAAUGGAGUUCUUUUUUUUUUUUUAACUAGAGAAUUGCUACAAAGGUGCAAACAUUUUACACAGUUGCAAAUCCCUUUACCCAACCCUUUCAAACCAUUAGUCCAACUUCUUCAAUUCACGGAAUACCAAGUAUCAUUUCCUAGAGAUCGAAAUAACACUUUACACAAAAUAGUGCAUGAAUUUGAAUGACCAAAUUUCUCCCUUGCACUAAAAUCAUAUAAAUUACUCAAUUAUUCGAUCGUCGUUUAGAAGAAGAAAGAAAACCAUUCUCUCUCUAAUGAAGUCUAUACUCUUAUCAAAUUAUCUUUCUUUUAAUAAUUCCAAACUUGGUAAGGAUGCCAUCGAAAGUGUUUCACUUUGUUUAUUGGCCCCAGGUAGUCGAAAUCCUACUUGAUUAGGUUUCCCAUAAAAUUAGUAGUUCGGAUUUUUGGUCAGGGUGAAGAAAAGAAAGAGAAAUUGAGCCACCUUUUUUUUUUUGAUAGAACUCGAGUCACUUUUUACUGAACAGAAUAACCCAUCAUUUGACACUUAAAAAAUUGAAACAGGUGGUCAGCCUCAUUAAGUGAGUUGGUCCUCGAUUCUUUUUAACUUAAUUACUGCAAGACAGGCCUCUUUCUUUUUCCAGCCCUGCUCCCUAUAUUCUCCUUCAUCACGAGAGAGAGAUUCCAACACCCAUUCAAAUCGAAUUAAGUACUAGGAAGGAAGCUGCAUCCAUCUUUCCUCACUUGAUGUUGAUAUACGAGCCAGCUUAUGCAUUAGCCCAAAAUAAUGUGUGAACUGAACAAUAAUAUCAAGAACACUUACCACAUCACACCUCAAUCCACUGACAGAUCCAAGCUCAGCAGCUCUGAUACCACGAUAAAACAAGCGAAGAAAGAGAAGAUCUCUAUGUAUCCAAUUGUGUCUGAAUUUCUUAUUUACAAAUAGCAUGUACAGAAUGUAUAUAAAGCCCAGCUAUAACGGAUUUUGAGGAUAAUGGUAACUCUAUUAAUUGGACAAAUUGGUUACAUUGACACAGCUCGGUGCUUAUCACGAACAACAGUAGGACACGUUUAUCUCUGCUUUCUUCUCAUGCUACCCAUGUCAUAUCACCUGAGGAAACCAAUGCAGAAGCUGCCAUCUUUACACACCCAUCAAACCAAACUCUAUUUUCACCAUCUCAAAUUAUAUAUGAUAAAAAAAAAAGGGUAUAUUAAAAUUAGAAAAAAAAAAAAUGGAAAGCAGAAGAAGAAGAAGAAUAAAGAUGGCUGUGGUAGAGAAAGCAAGGGAGAGCAUGAGCUAUGCUGAUAUAAACUGAAGCCAUGUUAUUCUUAACAUAGACGAGACCUGAUAUCUAGCUAUUACAUUCUCAAUUUUCGUUUUCCUUCUUCUUUGGUAGAUGAGGAACACUAGCACAAAUGUCACACUCCCAAACCGGAC
rnacentral:lncRNA from 1 species